AUUGAACGCUGGCGGCAGGCUUAACACAUGCAAGUCGAGCGGGGAAAUAUAGCUUGCUAUAUGACCUAGCGGCGGACGGGUGAGUAAUGCUUAGGAAUCUGCCUAUUAGUGGGGGACAACAUUUCGAAAGGGAUGCUAAUACCGCAUACGCCCUACGGGGGAAAGCAGGGGAUCAUUUGACCUUGCGCUAAUAGAUGAGCCUAAGUCGGAUUAGCUAGUUGGUGGGGUAAAGGCCUACCAAGGCGACGAUCUGUAGCGGGUCUGAGAGGAUGAUCCGCAACACUGGGACUGAGACACGGCCCAGACUCCUACGGGAGGUAGCAGUGGGGAAUAUUGGACAAUGGGGGGAACCCUGAUCCAGCCAUGCCGCGUGUGUGAAGAAGGCCUUUUGGUUGUAAAGCACUUUAAGCGAGGAGGAGGCUACUUUAGUUAAUACCUAGAGAUAGUGGACGUUACUCGCAGAAUAAGCACCGGCUAACUCUGUGCCAGCCGCCGCCGUAA
rnacentral:rRNA from 1 species